rnacentral:rRNA from 1 species
CCUACGGGGGGCAGCAGUCGAGAAUCAUUCACAAUGGGGGAAACCCUGAUGGUGCGACGCCGCGUGGGGGAAUGAAGGUCUUCGGAUUGUAAACCCCUGUCAUGUGGGAGCAAAUUAAAAAGAUAGUACCACAAGAGGAAGAGACGGCUAACUCUGUGCCAGCAGCCGCGGUAAUACAGAGGUCUCAAGCGUUGUUCGGAAUCACUGGGCGUAAGGCGUGCGUAGGCUGUUUCGUAAGUCGGGUGUGAAAGGCGCGGGCUCAACCCGCGGACGGCACAUGAUACUGCGAGACUAGAGUAAUGGAGGGGGAACCGGAAUUCUCGGUGUAGCAGUGAAAUGCGUAGAUAUCGAGAGGAACACUCGUGGCGAAGGCGGGUUCCUGGACAUUAACUGACGCUGAGGCACGAAGGCCAGGGGAGCGAAAGGGAUUAGAUACCCCAGUAGUC